rnacentral:lncRNA from 1 species
AAAAUCUGUGUAGAUCAGCAAUAGAAAAGAACAAAAAAUGUAUCCAUUAUAUCAUCCAUGAAGAGAAUGUAUGUUGAGGAUUGCAGUCACAAACACUAAUAAAACUGAAAUCUUAAUGAUUCAGCUUAAUGUACCCAACCUGACGUUCCAUAAGACAAACUUUUGUACAAACUACACCUGAUAUAAACCUGGUGUUCAAGUAACACUGAUGAUUUCGAACUAUACGAAUCCGAAGGCCAUGAAUUGAGUGUGUUCUUGCACUACAAAUUGUUGAUGGCUCUGGAAUAUUUCCAGCUCCAGAACUUCAACAUCAGAUUAAAGAUGAAUCAGUGAGUUUUAGAGAGAUGAUUAACACAUCUUAAGCUGGAUUCAUGAGAAAGCUCUUUAAAUUUUUCUGAAUGAGUUAGGAACAGGAUCCAAUUAUCAAGCAAAGAG